rnacentral:rRNA from 1 species
GACGAACGCUGGCGGCGUGCUUAACACAUGCGAGUCGAACGGAAAGGCCCUGCUUUUGUGGGGUGCUCGAGUGGCGAACGGGUGAGUAACACGUGAGUAACCUGCCCUUGACUUUGGGAUAACUUCAGGAAACUGGGGCUAAUACCGGAUAGGAGCUCCUGCUGCAUGGUGGGGGUUGGAAAGUUUCGGCGGUUGGGGAUGGACUCGCGGCUUAUCAGCUUGUUGGUGGGGUAGUGGCUUACCAAGGCUUUGACGGGUAGCCGGCCUGAGAGGGUGACCGGCCACAUUGGGACUGAGAUACGGCUCAGACUCCUACGGGAGGCAGCAGUGGGGAAUAUUGCACAAUGGGCGGAAGCCUGAUGCAGCAACGCCGCGUGCGGGAUGACGGCCUUCGGGUUGUAAACCGCUUUCGCCUGUGACGAAGCGUGAGUGACGGUAAUGGGUAAAGAAGCACCGGCUAACUACGUG